rnacentral:tRNA from 1 species
GAAACAAUAGUUUAAUCGGAAAAAUCUCUCCCCCAACGAGAAGUUGCAGGUUCGGGCCCUGCUUGUUUCC